GUCUAAAUGUGAUUUGCCGUGCCCUGUUAAAUAGCUGUUGGACUUCCACCUCCAGGCAUGUGGUGGUGAAUCAGAUGGAAAUUGUUUGACAUAGCACCUUUGACUGCUUUACCAACCAAUAACUUCUCACAGCUUAGACCCCAAAAGAGGUGACAAGGACAAAUUGUUAUUACAGAUCAUUAAAUCAACACCUGGUACCCAUUUGCAGUUGAUUUUAGCCAACUCUGAUUUUUGUCAAGCUCCAACAGGAUGUGGCACAUUUGUCUAUUCACCUGCUUUUUCCUGCUCUUUGUGUUCUGUGUGUCCCUUGUCCGUGUAGGCUGGACGUGGAUGGAGACUGUUCUAAUUUUCCAACCACUCCAAUGAUCUUGACCUUCUGUCCUGUCGCACCUGUGCCUCUUCAACUCAUUACACCCCAGCAGUUUUGGAGUGUGGUUCACAGUUCCCAUCAUCUGCGAACAGGCGUUAUCGCCCUGCACAGUGCUCAGAGCGGCUCUCCCAGACGCCUUAAUGAAGGUCGGCGGGCUGCCUCAACACUCUUCGUAGCUUCCACUGGGCUCAGCCCAAUACCCUCUCCACUCCUCCUCAACCCUCAGAGUACUCCCUACUUCCUGCAGCGCAUCGCCCCAUCGCGUUAAUCUGAGCUGCUCUCUGGAGACAAUGUGAUGCUAAUAAGUCUGGAAACUUUAAAAUGCAUGGGAAGGGUUUUUUAAUGUUAUUUCAGCUUUCACUUUUCAUUUCUGUUUGGAAAGUUAAAAGCAACCAUGUUUGCAUCCUCGCUAUGAAAUAAACAUCGAAGGAUUAAUUUUUGAGGACCAAAUUAAAGUUUAAAAUCAGAGGGGCAUUUGAAAUUGUUCCCAUCUGUGCUAUGAAAUUAGUGCCCUGGUUAUUUGAUGAAAAAAUUAGAGAUAUUGAUUAUCGGAAGGUCAAAAAGAAAGCAUCCCAUUAUAAUGUUUGGAAAAGU
rnacentral:lncRNA from 1 species